AGAGUUUGAUCAUGGCUCAGAGCGAACGCUGGCGGCAGGCCUAACACAUGCAAGUCGAACGAACUCUUCGGAGUUAGUGGCGGACGGGUGAGUAACACGUGGGAACGUGCCUUUAGGUUCGGAAUAACUCAGGGAAACUUGUGCUAAUACCGAAUGUGCCCUUCGGGGGAAAGAUUUAUCGCCUUUAGAGCGGCCCGCGUCUGAUUAGCUAGUUGGUGAGGUAAAAGGUUCACCAAGGCUACGAUCAGUAGCUGGUCUGAGAGGAUGACCAGCCACAUUGGGACUGAGACACGGCCCAAACUCCUACGGGAGGCAGCAGUGGGGAAUCUUGCGCAAUGGGCGAAAGCCUGACGCAGCCAUGCCGCGUGGAUGAUGAAGGUCUUAGGAUUGUAAAAUCCUUUCACCGGUGAAGAUAAUGACUGUAGCCGGAGAAGAAGCCCCGGCUAACUUCGUG
rnacentral:rRNA from 1 species